AGAGUUUGAUCCUGGCUCAGGACGAACGCUGGCGGCGUGCUUAACACAUGCAAGUCGAGCGGUAAGGCCUCUUCGGGGGUACACGAGCGGCGAACGGGUGAGUAACACGUGGGUGACCUGCCCUCCUCUCUGGGAUAAGCCUGGGAAACUGGGUCUAAUACCGGAUAUUCACUUACUUCUGCAUGGGGGUGGGUGGAAAGUUUUUUCGGUGGGGAUGGGCCCGCGGCCUAUCAGCUUGUUGGUGGGGUGAUGGCCUACCAAGGCGACGACGGGUAGCCGGCCUGAGAGGGCGACCGGCCACACUGGGACUGAGACACGGCCCAGACUCCUACGGGAGGCAGCAGUGGGGAAUAUUGCGCAAUGGGCGGAAGCCUGACGCAGCGACGCCGCGUGGGGGAUGACGGCCUUCGGGUUGUAAACCUCUUUCGCCAGGGACGAAGCGUGAGUGACGGUACCUGGAUAAGAAGCACCGGCCAACUACGUGCCAGCAGCCGCGGUAACACGUAGGGUGCGAGCGUUGUCCGGAAUUAUUGGGCGUAAAGAGCUCGUAGGCGGUGUGUCGCGUCGGCCGUGAAAACCUGUGGCUUAACUGCGGGCUUGCGGUCGAUACGGGCAUCACUGGAGUUCGGCAGGGGAGACUGGAAUUCCUGGUGUAGCGGUGAAAUGCGCAGAUAUCAGGAGGAACACCGGUGGCGAAGGCGGGUCUCUGGGCCGAUACUGACGCUGAGGAGCGAAAGCGUGGGGAGCGAACAGGAUUAGAUACCCUUGUAGUCC
rnacentral:rRNA from 1 species